UAGGGAUUGUUUCUCAGACUCAAGUUAGAAGUUUGAAUUCAGAUAAGUGAGGCUGACAUUGCUGCUUUGAACACCUCAGAAGGGGAGAAUGGAUUCAUCAGAAGUGAAAAAGAAGAGCUUGCUAGGAGUCAAAGCAAAUAAAAAGUCCAGCUCUCGGGCUCCUUCUACCAAACGCAAGAACAGAAGUCCAAGGAUCGCUCUAAAGAUAUAGGCAGGGGCCGCUAAAGAGUCAAGUGAGAAGGGUCGUGGCAGAGAUAAGAGUUGGAAGAGACACAGUGCCUCAAGUGGAAGCAGCAGCCCCAGGUCUAGGUCCAGCUUCAGCUCCAGGACCAGCACUUGCUCAAGUAGUGGCUCUAGCUCCUCCUCUGCAUCCCGCAGCUCCACCCCUCCGUCCCUCCGGAAGCUCCCGUUCUAGCAGCUCCUCGGGCUCCCCAAGCCCUUCUCCUUGCAGGCAUGACAACAGGCAGUGUUCUGGCUCCAAAUCCAAACCACCCAAAAGAGAUGAAAGAGAGAGGAAAAGGCGGAGCCCUUCACCUAAACCUACCAAAGUGCACACUGGGAAGCUCAUCAGGAAUUCGAUCGGGAAUUCCAGGAUCAUAUCAUGGAAACGUUUUCUACUUACGGGAAAAUGAAAAUGAUUGACAUGCCUAUAGAAAGGAUGCAUCUUUAUCUACCCAAAUCUAUGCAUAUGUGGAAUUUAGCAGUCCAGAUGAAGCAGAGGAUACACAUGGAUAGAGGACAAUUGAUGGCCAAGAGAUCACUGCUAUUGCAGUGUUGGCACCCGGCCUCAGCCACCUCGACCAGGGGUAUGCUUCCACCACCUCCUAUGUGUCGCAGGUCACCCCCACGGGUGAGGAGCGCAGGUCCCUGUUCAUAGGAGGUCUCCAUCUCCAGGCUGCCUCUGCCACAGGAGCUGUUCCAGCUCCAACUCCUCCUAA